UACGUAGGGGGGCAAGCGUUGUCCGGAAUCAUUGGGCGUAAAGCGCGUGUAGGCGCCAGAAAAGUCCGCUGUGAAAACUCGAGGCUCAACUUCGAGCUGUCGGUGGAAACUUUCUGGCUAGAGUCCGGAAGAGGAGAAUGGAAUUCCUGGUGUAGCGGUGAAAUGACGCAGAUAUCAGGAAGAACACCCCGUGGCGAAGGCGGUUCUCUGGGACGGUACUGACGCUGGAGACGCGAAAAGCGUGGGGAGCGAACAGG
rnacentral:rRNA from 1 species